rnacentral:rRNA from 1 species
GACGAACGCUGGCGGCGCGCCUAACACAUGCAAGUCGAGCGGGAAGCUUUUUAAGGAUUCUUCGGAUGAAUUAAAAAGUGGAGAGCGGCGGACGGGUGAGUAACGCGUGAGAAACCUGCCCUAUACAGGGGGAUAGCCAUUGGAAACGAUGAUUAAUACCCCAUAUGACCACAGUAUCGCAUGAUACAGCGGUGAAACUCCGGUAGGUAUAGGAUGGUCUCGCGUCUGAUUAGCUAGUUGGUGGGUAACGGCCUACCAAGGCGACGAUCAGUAGCCGGCUGAGAGGUGACCGGCACACUGAACUGAGACACGGUCCAGACUCCGU